GUAGUAGCUGACCAUGCAAGACCUCAUGGGUAGUCAAGGUUGUUAAAAACCACCCUCAUUGUCAAAUGAUAUGAAUUUUAGAAAAUAAACAUCACUGUACAGCCUUCAACAACGACUUAAAACCAUACUGUAGUCUAGUCAGCUGUAAAAGGGCUUGAUAUGACAAAAUGUUAAACAGUUCAAACGAAAAUACCAAGGGCCUGAUUUAUGUUAAAACAAGAAAUUAAAAAACCUAAUAUGACAAACAGCAAAC
rnacentral:lncRNA from 1 species